UUAAGCGACUAAGCGUACACGGUGGAUGCCCUGGCAGUCAGAGGCGAUGAAGGACGUGCUAAUCUGCGAUAAGCGUCGGUAAGGUGAUAUGAACCGUUAUAACCGGCGAUUUCCGAAUGGGGAAACCCAGUGUGUUUCGACACACUAUCAUUAACUGAAUCCAUAGGUUAAUGAGGCGAACCGGGGGAACUGAAACAUCUAAGUACCCCGAGGAAAAGAAAUCAACCGAGAUUCCCCCAGUAGCGGCGAGCGAACGGGGAGCAGCCCAGAGCCUGAAUCAGUGUGUGUGUUAGUGGAAGCGUCUGGAAAGGCGCGCGAUACAGGGUGACAGCCCCGUACACAAAAAUGCACAUGCUGUGAGCUCGAUGAGUAGGGCGGGACACGUGGUAUCCUGUCUGAAUAUGGGGGGACCAUCCUCCAAGGCUAAAUACUCCUGACUGACCGAUAGUGAACCAGUACCGUGAGGGAAAGGCGAAAAGAACCCCGGCGAGGGGAGUGAAAAAGAACCUGAAACCGUGUACGUACAAGCAGUGGGAGCACGCUUAGGCGUGUGACUGCGUACCUUUUGCAUAAUGGGUCAGCGACUUAUAUUCUGUAGCAAGGUUAACCGAAUAGGGGAGCCGAAGGGAAACCGAGUCUUAACUGGGCGUUAAGUUGCAGGGUAUAGACCCGAAACCCGGUGAUCUAGCCAUGGGCAGGUUGAAGGUUGGGUAACACUAACUGGAGGACCGAACCGACUAAUGUUGAAAAAUUAGCGGAUGACUUGUGGCUGGGGGUGAAAGGCCAAUCAAACCGGGAGAUAGCUGGUUCUCCCCGAAAGCUAUUUAGGUAGCGCCUCGUGAAUUCAUCUCCGGGGGUAGAGCACUGUUUCGGCAAGGGGGUCAUCCCGACUUACCAACCCGAUGCAAACUGCGAAUACCGGAGAAUGUUAUCACGGGAGACACACGGCGGGUGCUAACGUCCGUCGUGAAGAGGGAAACAACCCAGACCGCCAGCUAAGGUCCCAAAGUCAUGGUUAAGUGGGAAACGAUGUGGGAAGGCCCAGACAGCCAGGAUGUUGGCUUAGAAGCAGCCAUCAUUUAAAGAAAGCGUAAUAGCUCACUGGUCGAGUCGGCCUGCGCGGAAGAUGUAACGGGGCUAAACCAUGCACCGAAGCUGCGGCAGCGACACUAUGUGUUGUUGGGUAGGGGAGCGUUCUGUAAGCCUGUGAAGGUGUGCUGUGAGGCAUGCUGGAGGUAUCAGAAGUGCGAAUGCUGACAUAAGUAACGAUAAAGCGGGUGAAAAGCCCGCUCGCCGGAAGACCAAGGGUUCCUGUCCAACGUUAAUCGGGGCAGGGUGAGUCGACCCCUAAGGCGAGGCCGAAAGGCGUAGUCGAUGGGAAACAGGUUAAUAUUCCUGUACUUGGUGUUACUGCGAAGGGGGGACGGAGAAGGCUAUGUUGGCCGGGCGACGGUUGUCCCGGUUUAAGCGUGUAGGCUGGUUUUCCAGGCAAAUCCGGAAAAUCAAGGCUGAGGCGUGAUGACGAGGCACUACGGUGCUGAAGCAACAAAUGCCCUGCUUCCAGGAAAAGCCUCUAAGCAUCAGGUAACAUCAAAUCGUACCCCAAACCGACACAGGUGGUCAGGUAGAGAAUACCAAGGCGCUUGAGAGAACUCGGGUGAAGGAACUAGGCAAAAUGGUGCCGUAACUUCGGGAGAAGGCACGCUGAUAUGUAGGUGAGGUCCCUCGCGGAUGGAGCUGAAAUCAGUCGAAGAUACCAGCUGGCUGCAACUGUUUAUUAAAAACACAGCACUGUGCAAACACGAAAGUGGACGUAUACGGUGUGACGCCUGCCCGGUGCCGGAAGGUUAAUUGAUGGGGUUAGCGCAAGCGAAGCUCUUGAUCGAAGCCCCGGUAAACGGCGGCCGUAACUAUAACGGUCCUAAGGUAGCGAAAUUCCUUGUCGGGUAAGUUCCGACCUGCACGAAUGGCGUAAUGAUGGCCAGGCUGUCUCCACCCGAGACUCAGUGAAAUUGAACUCGCUGUGAAGAUGCAGUGUACCCGCGGCAAGACGGAAAGACCCCGUGAACCUUUACUAUAGCUUGACACUGAACAUUGAGCCUUGAUGUGUAGGAUAGGUGGGAGGCUUUGAAGUGUGGACGCCAGUCUGCAUGGAGCCGACCUUGAAAUACCACCCUUUAAUGUUUGAUGUUCUAACGUUGACCCGUAAUCCGGGUUGCGGACA
rnacentral:rRNA from 1 species